rnacentral:lncRNA from 1 species
GAACGUUUGUAUCCGCUUUCACCGUGCUGUGCGGAGCCCGGACUGACCUCCCCGACAGGCACAUGUGUUGUGUGUUCUGGCUGAACAUUGCUGCUGCUCUGAUUCAGAUCCUGACAGCGAUCGUGAUGGUUGGCUGGAUUAUGAGUAUAUUUUGGGGGAUGGACAUGGUCAUUCUCGCAAGCUACAAGGAACAGGGGAUCCCACAGCAGCUGUAGUGGCUGGGACAAGUAUGGUCAGAGAAACACGGCGAGAGAUUUCCUUUGGCAGCUCUGGGCCACGGACCUUUUCAUUACCCUUUGUCUUUCUUCUUCUUCUUCUUCCUUUUGUUUUGUUUUGUUCUGUUUGAACCUGGUCCAUCUGCCCAUCCAGCGGAGCGGAGGUGCAGAGCAGCCGACGGAGACUUGCACUGAUCCCAUUGAGCAGCAGAGAUGGGGCAAGCACAGCGUGGGGUAGGACUGGUCCUGGCCAGCACACGAUGGGCAGCUGAUGAGGAGGAUGGUGCCAGGAGAAGGAAACACCCUUGGCAAAGGUGGCAUCCAUGCAGGCAGCUGAGCCAGGGGAGCAGGAGAUGCUGCUUUCCUCCCUCUUCCCAGGAGGGAGUAGCUGAAGAUGCUUUGCCUCCUUUUUAUGCUCACUGUUAAAGGAAACUGGCUGUGGACAUCAAAUGCCAAGGAGCUAUUAACAGAUACAUCUACAGUAUAUAAAAGCAAACCAGUUGUACUUUUCCCCACUCUGAGAGUCCAUCCUUGACUGCUUCGUUGUAGCAGAGGGCUCAGCCCAGCCUCCCCUGCUCACUGUGUAUAUAUGAUGCUCAAUGAAGCUCUGUCUGUGCAGAUAUCUUGAGAAACGUGCUUGCUGUAAAUCAUGCUGUACUGAUAAAUGGACCGAGACCAUCCCCUACUUCCAUCCACUGGCACUAUGUGAAGACCAGACCUCCCACCAGCCCUGAGGGGACGUUAUCUAGCAACGGACCAGUGCCCUGCAGCACCUUGACUCUAGAUGCUUGCCAAAGGCUUCUACUGUAAAACAAUACUGGGGGAGCCAAAAGACGACUUUUUCUCCUUUCCCCUGAAAGGGACUUGCUGGCAGUGUUUCCGUGCUUUGGAAGUGGAUCCCCUUACAGCUCGGCAUGUGUUCCUGGCUGGAGCAGCAUCCCUGCUCUGCUUCUCCAGAGGCCAAAUUCACCACCCAGCGCUUUCAUGCCUCUUGCUGGAGCACCACAGGGAAAAGUCAUCUCCUCCAGGACACCCACCAACACCAGGGCUGGAUAACUCACCUCCCACUUGCAGGAGCUGUGCCAUGUCAUCCACCAGUGCCCGCUGUGCCACACCACCACUGCAAACCAACCCAUCUGCGUGCUGGCAUAGCAAGAGGUCACAGCCAGUGAACGCUUGGUCUGCUUGAAGGCACCUGGCAAUCCCAGCAUCAUCAUCUGCUUUAUAAAUAUAGAUGUUUUAGAUGCAAGUUUUACAGCUAAAAGAGUGAUAGUGGGUAAUGAAGAAUAAAUGCAGUUGCUUCACCCCCAUCUGCCAACACCACAGUGUUUUCUGCUGCUCUUUCCCAUUGUGAAAACCUAAAAAAAAAAAAAAAAAAAAAAAAAGGGCUUUAAUGAAAUAGUUCCUUGGUACUUGAACCCAGCCAGGCUGGACAGCUGAUGUACUACUCAUUGGAAAGCAAUUCCAGGUAGGAACCAAACCAAAUGUGUUUUUGAAGUGUGUGGCCAGUUGUAAGCCAGUUUCAUUCUGGGUCAGCCCAACCAUUUCCAUGCAGUUUUUCUUUGCCUAAGUCUGAUGGUGUUGCCAGAUCCAUACUUAUCAUGGAAAAGGUGCUAUGGCAGGCAGCUCCCACCAUCCCAGCCCUUUGCCUGCCUGGCCACACUUGCUGCAGAGGGUCAGCAUCACUCUCAGAUGUGCCUGGCAAUCAGAGCCAGGAAGGUCAGCGGGGCUAUGUGCCAUUUGGUAGGGUGUUGGACACAGGAGGUGCCUCCAUCUGUGCCACAUCCUGUGCAUCCUGAAACAAGGAGCUGCAUGUUCCUCCCUACCUGCAUCCACUGUCACACAUUUUAUUAAAGAUCUUUCAGUUCUGUUGAAAGUGGCCCCUUGUCAUAGUCUUCCCAUGAUGCGGGGGGUAUUGCUCUGAGCUCCAUGGAUAGGAAACCAAAGAGUCAUGGUCUCAUUCUUCAGGGGGUUGUUUUAUUCCAUCCUUGCCUCCUGCUUGUUUGGGGAUGUCCCUGCAGAUCACGUACAUGCAUACACUCCAGCCGGAGUGCAAUUCAUUACUAUUCAACCCAAACUGCAUCCUCUACAAGACACCACCAAGAGUUCAUUUAAAGCCCAGACACAGGAAGAGCUAUAAGCUUGGCUGGAUCUUAUAUUCCUCCCAGUCAAAAGCAAUGGCUUCUCCCACACACUUGCUAAUCACGGCAUGAUAACACACCCCUGUAUUGUCUAGCUGACUUCUCUUCAUGCUCACACACAUAGUGACUUUUCACGCAGUGCUGCAACUGAUUUUCUAAAGCAGCACUCAAUAUCCAUCCAUGGGACCAGCAUCCUGCAAAACCCGAGGUGACAGUGGCACCAGCUGAACCAGCGUUAGUUACAGUGAAUUCCACAAGAGCCUGUUCCACCCACAAGCCAUCCUUCCUCCUCUUGUCAUCCAUAUUCAUAACCAGAGCCAGGCUAAGAUUCAGUCCUGCUUCUCCUGCAUCCACCCACCAUCCAAAGGGAAGCAACACCCUCUUGUCCUCUUCACCAAAACAACACAGUGGGAUGUGAAGGCUUCACAUACACUCUAGGACCGACAAGGCAAGAGGAGUUUAAUCCGUCUUCCAGCUCUAAGGAUGCUUCCAGCAGGCAGGUGAAAGGGAAUGGGCACAUUUGGGCUUGGGAUCAAAGCAGUGAUGGCAAUGUUGCCCCAAGCACCCCCCUUCCCACCCACCACAUACAUACAGACACUGCUCCAUGGGCCGGGAGGGGAAUGCUUGUCCAUUACUGGUUCGAGUCUGUGUUUUCCUUAGUUUUGGCCAUGCUUGGAUGUAUCAGGUUUUUCCCAGCUGAAGAAGGGAAUGGGUGUGUGUCUUCCUGUGCCAUUUGCAUCCCAAUGGUGAGCCCACCUUUCAUUUUUGUGCCAGAGCCCAAACCGAGGGGUUAGAGAGGACCAUUUGAUGUCUGUUAAUCUCACCGAGUGUUGGAUUGUGACUUGCUGUGUUUUGAUACUGUGGAUUAUUAUUAUUUUUUAAGUUAAAUACAUUCUCUUGCUGGACAGCUGGGAUGCAAU